rnacentral:rRNA from 1 species
UCCCAGCAGUCCGAGUCGUGGCCACAUUUAUUAGGUCUAAAACAUUCGUAGCUUGCUUUACAAGUUCCUUGUGAAAUGCUAUCGCUCAACGGUAGCGCAUGCAAGGAAUACUGUAUCGCUAGAGACUGGUAGACGUAAGGAGUACGAUUGAGGUAGCGGUAAAAUGUUUUAAUCUCAACCGGACUAACAAUGGCGAAGGCACCUUACGAGGACAGAUCUGACAGUGAGGAAUGAAGGCCAGGGGCGCAAAAUG